rnacentral:rRNA from 1 species
AACGCGAAGAACCUUACCUAGGUCUUGACAUCCCGAUGCUAUUUCUAGAGAUAGAAAGUUACUUCGGUACAUCGGUGACAGGUGGUGCAUGGUUGUCGUCAGCUCGUGUCGUGAGAUGUUGGGUUAAGUCCCGCAACGAGCGCAACCCCUAUUGUUAGUUGCCAUCAUUCAGUUGGGCACUCUAGCGAGACUGCCGGUAAUAAACCGGAGGAAGGUGGGAUGACGUCAAAUCAUCAUGCCCUUAUGACCUGGGCUACACACGUGCUACAAUGGUUGGUACAACGAGUUGCGAGUCGGUGACGGCGAGCUAAUCUCUUAAAGCCAAUCUCAGUUCGGAUUGUAGGCUGCAACUCGCCUACAUGAAGUCGGAAUCGCUAGUAAUCGCAGAUCAGCAACGCUGCGGUGAAUACGUUCCCGGGUCUU